UGAUGACGAAGACAUAGAGAAGCA
rnacentral:siRNA from 1 species